rnacentral:pre_miRNA from 1 species
UCUUACAGUUGAGCAAAGAAAGUGGUUUCUUGAGAUGGAAUCUACUCUGGUGAACAUGCUGUGAU